rnacentral:rRNA from 1 species
UGGGGGAUAUUGCACAAUGGGCGCAAGCCUGAUGCAGCGACGCCGCGUGGGGGAUGAAGGCCUUCGGGUUGUAAACUUCUUUUGCUCUGAACAAGGCGCACUUUGGGGUGUGUUGAGUGUAGGGGUUGAUUAGCGCCGGCUAACUACGUGCCAGCAGCCGCGGUAAUACGUAGGGCGCGAGCGUUGUCCGGAAUUAUUGGGCGUAAAGGGCUUGUAGGUGGCUGGUUGCGUCUGUCGUGAAAGCUCAUGGCUUAACUGUGGGUUUGCGGUGGGUACGGGCUGGCUUGAGUGCAGUAGGGGGGGCUGGAAUGCCUGGUGUAGCGGUGGAGUGCGCAGAUAUCAGGAGGAAUACCGGUGGCGAAGGCGGGUCUCUGGGCUGUUACUGACACUGAGGAGCGAAAGCAUGCGGAGCGAACAGG